UAACCAGGACAUACUGCAAGGACAUACAUUCUGGAGAGGGAGUUUCUGGAUUUGAAGAAUUCUAAAACCAAGAAAAGCCUCACUGACUACAUAUACCCUGAAAGAAACUGCAGUUGUGGAGGUGAUGUUAUGUUUCUAAGUCUUUCAUAG
rnacentral:lncRNA from 1 species